rnacentral:rRNA from 1 species
CCUUGCCAGCCCGCUCAGAAACUCAAAGGAAUUGACGGGGGCCCGCACAAGCGGAGGAGCAUGUGGUUUAAUUCGAUGAUACGCGAGGAACCUUACCUGGGCUCGAACGUAAGAUGACUGUAGGUGAAAGCUUACAUCUCUUCGGAGCAUUUUACGAGGUGCUGCAUGGUUGUCGUCAGCUCGUGCCGUGAGGUGUCGGGUUAAGUCCCAUAACGAGCGCAACCCCUACCUUUAGUUGCCAUCAGGUAAUGCUGGGGACUCUAAAGGAACUGCCUACGCAAGUAGUGAGGAAGGCGGGGAUGACGUCAAAUCAGCACGGCCCUUACGUCCAGGGCUACACACGUGCUACAAUGGCCGAUACAGAGGGCAGCUACCUGGUGACAGGAUGCAAAUCUCCAAAGUCGGUCUCAGUUCGGAUCGGAGUCUGCAACCCGACUCCGUGAAGUUGGAUUCGCUAGUAAUCGCGCAUCAGCCAUGGCGCGGUGAAUACGUUCCCGGGCCUU